rnacentral:rRNA from 1 species
ACACAUCUUUCCUACGCACCCUAAAAAGAAACCUUAUUUCCCAUUCACGCUUUCACAUUGACACAUCUUGCUCUUGCUCUUCCCCUUGCCUGAUCCCCUUUCUCACUCCAAAAUUGCUGCCGCCGGUAGCUCCCAUCAGCUUGAUUCCUUGAUUCAGUGCCUUGAGCUUGCUCGUCCUCACCUACAGCCAGCCCCGCAGCUUGAUUCAUUUGUGCAGCCAUAGGGUGACCUUCGACGGCGGCUGGUUUGUCUCCUGAUCUCCUCGUACGCCUCCUCGGUCUCCUCCUAGGCUGGUAAAUGGCGAUGGAGAGGUAGCAGGGCCCAAGGUGUAGCUGCGCAAGGGAGGAGGUGAGAUCAUCAAUCUGCACGAUGUUGUUGCUGUCUAUGUCCGUGCAGGUGAUGUUGGCGUGGAUUUCGUCUCCAACAGCUGCUUUGAUCCAUCUUUAGUAUGAGGAUGGUGGAGAUGUUUUCUGCCCCUAGAGCGCCGGCCAGACGCAUCCUCCACAUCGGCAACAUUCUUCGAAGUUUGAAGUGUGUUGCCCUACAGCAAGAAAUGAGGCACAUAACUGGGAACGAUUGGACGUGGGGAGAGAAGAAAUGUUACCUUGUUGUUGACCGAAAACAGUAGUAAAGCUCCAACCUCUAGGUAAAUAUCGUCCUUGACGAAGAGGUCGAAUUCUGGCCACUUAUAGGGUCUGUGUAUGGUGUGUAUCUCAAGUCCCAACUCUCACCUGAUUGGUCUUCUAAUCUCCCUCUAGCUGGCUGACAGGAGAUUUCAUAUGUUAACAACAAUGCUCCAAGAGCAAUCCAACCAUCCAAGGCAUAUGGUUUUGGAGAUUAGCAGUUUGCAAAUACGGAAGGAAAAAUACCUUAUAGCAGCUAGCUGUGGGGUGAAAGCAGAUGUGGUUUUGGAGCAGCAGUUUGCAAAUACGGAAGGAAAAAUACCUUAUAGUAGCUAGCUGUGGGGUCAAAGUAGAUUGCAAUUUGAUUUUAAUUUUUUUGAUUCAGUUAUGUUUGCACGUGGCUGUACCACAUCAAAGCUGAUUGAACCUACCUAAUAUCGUGGCAAUUCUUUGGCCCUAUUUUGUCCUGUAGCUGAGCGAAUAUCGAUAUUCUUUUCCCUGGCGGCCAUACAUGCCUAGUAUCUCUUGUGUAUUCAUUGAUUAAUUUUUGUUGAGCGUCCUGGCUACCAAUCUGUCCUGCUUAGUAGUUGAUCCUAUUAAUAAGGGACAAAAUAAAAGUAACAGUGCAGGGAAGAACAAUAGCAUACCUAGUCAUCAAGGCCGGAUUGCUGUAUGCACACUGGGCGGCAGAGAGAGAACGGCAUGGGGAGGGCAUGGAUUAAUUACUAUUCUUUUUUAGGGAAUAUAGAUAUUCUUCUGUUAGGAUAGUGAAGAGAUUUGGAUGUGAGGUUGUUUUUAUAGUGUAAAGAUAUGGUAAGUGAGAUAUGUACGUGAUGGAUGUGAGGUUCCUUUUUUAAGUGAACAGAUAUGGACGUGAGAUAUGUACUUGAGAUUGUUUUUUUGUUUUGGAAAAGGUGAAUUGUUAUUCAGUUUUUUUAGUGGAUUGGUAGGAUAUGUAAUGGCAAAGGUGGGUAAUUAAUUGUCCUUUGGUUAGAUCGGACGACUGUAAUUUUUUUGUCUAUUAAAAUAAAUGGCCAGA